rnacentral:rRNA from 1 species
GAAACGGCUACCACAUCUAAGGAAGGCAGCAGGCGCGUAAAUUACCCACUCCCAGUUCGGGGAGGUAGUGACGAAAAAUAACAAUACAGGACUCAUAUCCGAGGCCCUGUAAUUGGAAUGAGUACACUUUAAAUCCUUUAACAAGGACCAAUUGGAGGGCAAGUCUGGUGCCAGCAGCCGCGGUAAUUCCAGCUCCAAUAGCGUAUAUUAAAGUUGUUGCGGUUAAAACGUUCGUAGUUGAAUUUGUGCUUCAUACGGGUAGUAAAACCACAAUUGUGGAUUUUACAUUACCUUAUGUAUGCAAGCGUAUUAUCGGUGGAGUUCUAAUAUUUAUCGAUAUUCGUAUCUUUAUUUAUACCUCCUAUUUAAACCUGCCUCAGUGCUCUUCAUCGAGUGCUGUUGUGGGCCGGUACUAUUACUUUGAACAAAUUAGAGUGCUUAAAGCAGGCUCCAAAUGCCUGAAUAUUUUGUGCAUGGAAUAAUGAAAUAAGACCUCUGAUCUACUUUCAUUGGUUUUUAGAUCAAGAGGUAAUGAUAAAUAGAAGCAGUUUGGGGGCAUUAGUAUUACGACGCGAGAGGUGAAAUUCUUGGACC